rnacentral:piRNA from 1 species
ACAUUGCUCAGCUGCUGGACCUGA